AUUGAACGCUGGCGGCAGGCUUAACACAUGCAAGUCGAGCGGGGGAGGUUGCUUCGGUAACUGACCUAGCGGCGGACGGGUGAGUAAUGCUUAGGAAUCUGCCUAUUAGUGGGGGACAACAUUCCGAAAGGGAUGCUAAUACCGCAUACGCCCUACGGGGGAAAGCAGGGGAUCUUCGGACCUUGCGCUAAUAGAUGAGCCUAAGUCGGAUUAGCUAGUUGGUGGGGUAAAGGCCUACCAAGGCGACGAUCUGUAGCGGGUCUGAGAGGAUGAACCGCCACACUGGGACUGAGACACGGCCCAGACUCCUACGGGAGGCAGCAGUGGGGAAUAUUGGACAAUGGGCGGAAGCCUGAUCCAGCCAUGCCGCGUGUGUGAAGAAGGCCUUUUGGUUGUAAAGCACUUUAAGCGAGGAGGAGGCUACUAGUACUAAUACUACUGGAUAGUGGACGUUACUCGCAGAAUAAGCACCGGCUAGCUCUGUGCCAGCCGCCGCCGUAAGAC
rnacentral:rRNA from 1 species